UGCCCUGUUUAACAAAAACAUGGCUUUAUGUAUUUAUAUAAAGUCUAACCUGCCCACUGAAAUUUUUAAAGGGCCGCAGUAUCUUAACUGUGCAAAGGUAGCAUAAUCAUUUGUCUUUUAAUUGAAGGCUUGAAUGAACGGUAGAACGAGAAAUAAUCUGUCUCUUUUAAAAAAAUUGAAUUUUACUUUUAAAUGAAAAGGUUUAAAUAAAUUAAAAAGACGAUAAGACCCUAUAAAUCUUUAUAUUAAUAAUUAUUUUUUUUAAUUAUAAAUAAAUAAAAAAUAAUAAUUAUAAUAUUUUAUUGGGGAGAUAUAAAUAUAAUUUUUAACUAUUUUAUUUUUAUAACAAUAAUAUUUGAUUUAUUAUAAUGAUCCUUCUUAAAGAUUACAAAAUCAAGUUACUUUAGGGAUAACAGCGUUAUCUUUUUUAAGAGUCCAUAUCGAAAAAAAAGUUUGCGACCUCGAUGUUGAAUUAAAAAAAUCCAUAUAAACGCAAAAGUUAUAAAGGAAAGUCUGUUCGACUUUUAAAAUUUUACAUGAUUUGAGUUC
rnacentral:rRNA from 1 species